GACGAACGCUGGCGGCGUGUUUAACACAUGCAAGUCGAGCGAUGAAGCUCCUUCGGGAGCGGAUUAGCGGCGGACGGGUGAGUAACACGUGGGUAACCUGCCUCAUAGAGGGGAAUAGCCUUUCGAAAGGAAGAUUAAUACCGCAUAAGAUUGUAGUGCCGCAUGGCAUAGCAAUUAAAGGAGUAAUCCGCUAUGAGAUGGACCCGCGUCGGAUUAGCUAGUUGGUGAGGUAACGGCUCACCAAGGCGACGAUGCGUAGCCGACCUGAGAGGGUGAUCGGCCACAUUGGGACUGAGACGCGGCCCAGACUCCUACGGGAGGCAGCAGUGGGGAAUAUUGCACAAUGGGGGAAACCCUGAUGCAGCAACGCCGCGUGAGUGAUGACGGUCUUCGGAUUGUAAAGCUCUGUCUUCAGGGACGAUAAUGACGGUACCUGAGGAGGAAGCCACGGCUAACUACGUGCCAGCCGCCGCAGUAA
rnacentral:rRNA from 1 species